AGGAACCUCAACGCAGGACCCGUCUCACACCCGCUCCCAACUCAGGCCCUGUUUCUCCCUCCUUCUCUUCCCCACCCAGGAAGAGGAGAUCCCAGAGCUGGAGAUUGACGUGGAUGAGCUCUUGGACAUGGAGAGUGACGACACCCGGGCUGCCAGGGUCAAGGAACUGCUGGUUGACUGUUACAAACCCACCGAGGCCUUCAUCUCUGGCCUGCUGGACAAGAUCCGGGGCAUGCAGAAGCUGAGCGCACCCCAGAAGAAGUAAGGGUCCUGGGCCCAGGCGAACGCUGGCACCCACAGGACAAUCGCUGCCCCCUGACCUCGUAGCAACAGCAAUACCGGGACCCUGCGGCCAGGCCUGGUGCCAUGAGCAGGGUUCCUCGUGCCCCUGGACCAGGGGCCUCUUCCCCUGCCCCCUCAGUUUUCACUUUUGGGGUUUUUUAUUGUUAUUAAACUGACGGGACUUUUUGUGUUUUUGUACUGACUCUGCGGCGCGGGCCCUUUAAUUAAUUAAAGCUAGGCUCUGCCUUGGGUACAGCU